UAGUAGGACUAAAUCCCCUAAAGGUACCAAAUCUUAUCUGAUCUUGGAAGCUAAGUGGGAUCAAACCUGGUUCGUACUUGGAUGGGGGACUAUCAAUAAAUAUCAGGUGUUAUGGGGU
rnacentral:rRNA from 1 species